rnacentral:misc_RNA from 1 species
GUAGGUGAACCUGCGGAAGGAUCAUUACAAAAACAAAAUCCAAACCACACCAAAUGUGCUCUAUAAAUGCGAAAAGCUGUCUUUGUGUGUUGUUUGUUGUGAGGGAAGAAUUUAUUUUUUUCUCACACACACACACACACAAUCCUUCUUUUCUGCAUUGUCUUUGUUUAUCAAUUUUUUCAUUAACUCCUUGUUUAACCAACAACGGAUUACAAUGUUAAAACUUGAAACAAAAAAACAAAACAAAAUGACAACUUUUAACGGUGGAUCUCUUGGCUCGU